rnacentral:rRNA from 1 species
UGUGUUAUAGCCUUUACUUGCAUACAGUGGUUGGGAUUGAGGAACUCAGCACGCCGCAAGGCCGGGUUUCGACCACGUUCGUGCUUAGGAUGCUGGCAUAAUGGCUUUAAUCGA